AUUCUUGUUUAGUUCAUGAAUAUAAUGAUUGGGUACUUAUACUCUUGUGUGAUAUGUACCUCUCUUAAACCUUGUUAUGACAUUGAUACAUUUCCCUUUU